AUUGAACGCUGGCGGCAUGCUUUACACAUGCAAGUCGAACGGCAGCGCGGGCUUCGGCCUGGCGGCGAGUGGCGAACGGGUGAGUAAUACAUCGGAACGUGCCCAGUAGUGGGGGAUAGCUCGGCGAAAGCCGGAUUAAUACCGCAUACGACCUGAGGGUGAAAGCGGGGGAUCUUCGGACCUCGCGCUAUUGGAGCGGCCGAUGGCAGAUUAGCUAGUUGGUGGGGUAAAGGCCUACCAAGGCGACGAUCUGUAGCUGGUCUGAGAGGACGACCAGCCACACUGGGACUGAGACACGGCCCAGACUCCUACGGGAGGCAGCAGUGGGGAAUUUUGGACAAUGGGCGAAAGCCUGAUCCAGCAAUGCCGCGUGUGUGAUGAAGGCCUUCGGGUUGUAAAGCACUUCUGGCGGGAACGAAAAGGACUGUGCCAAUAUCACGGUUCGAUGACGGUACCCGCAGAAUAAGCACCGGCUAACUACGUG
rnacentral:rRNA from 1 species